CCUCGUUUCAGUUAUUUCUUCACCCCGCAUUUCAUGCAUUGUCACGCUUCCCCGUAUAAAUCACACAACAUCAAAGACGGACGCAAAUUAACACAAAUUUACUAACAAACAUAGUUUUGUCUGUUUCAUCUCUCUGGAGAAAGGAAAAAAAGGGAAAGGUUUCUUUUUUGGGGAUCUUAUGUUUGUUUCUUGUGGGAAUCUGAUUCCUCAUGGUGGUGUUGGAAAAAAAAUUUUGAGACCGGAGGGAUGCUCAAUUGGCGUGUGUUGAUCAAAUGUGCAAAAGGGGAGUGAGAAAAUUCGAUUGUGGUGUCAGGGGUGGGUUUUGUUGAAUUGAAUCAAGUUUGAAGUUGAAUUGAAUUUUGAACCGAGUCUGGUAUCGGGGCAUGUGAUUGGAGUUGAGAGUGGGAACGGGUAAGGGAUGGCGCGGGAUGGGAGCGUCGUCCCUGCGGAUCCGCAGGCGAUUGUGAAGAAGAAGACACAGUCGUCGAGAAGUUGGAUUAUGUUCGAUGCUACAGGGCAGGGCUCAUUGCUGGACGCGGACAAAUAUGCGAUCAUGCAUCGGGUUCAGAUUCAUGCGCGUGAUCUCAGAAUCCUUGAUCCCUUGCUUUCUUACCCCUCCACCAUUCUCGGUCGUGAGAAGGCCAUUGUUCUUAACUUGGAGCAUAUCAAGGCAAUUAUCACCGCGGAAGAGGUAUUGUUGAGAGAUCCAACAGAUGAAAAUGUGAUCCCUGUUGUCGAGGAACUGCAAAGGCGGUUGCCUCAAUCAAGUGCCGGUCUUCAACAGCAAGGAGAUGGUAAAGAGUAUCUUGGUGGCCAAAAUGAUGCUGAAGCAGCUGAAGAUGAUGAGUCACCAUUUGAAUUCCGGGCCCUGGAAGUUGCUUUAGAAGCCAUUUGCAGUUUUCUUGCUGCACGUACAACAGAAUUGGAGAUGGCUGCUUAUCCUGCACUAGAUGAACUUACCUCCAAGAUUAGUAGUCGUAAUUUGGACAGAGUUCGUAAACUGAAGAGCGCAAUGACAAGGCUGACGGCUAGAGUACAAAAGGUCAGAGAUGAGCUGGAACAAUUGCUGGAUGAUGAUGAUGAUAUGGCUGACCUAUACCUGUCAAGAAAAGCAGGUUCAUCAUCACCGGUCAGUGGAACAGGUGCUUCAAAUUGGUUUGCUUCCUCCCCCACCUUAGGAUCAAGGAUAUCUAGGGCAAGUAGAGCAAGUCUAGCAACAGUACGUUUAGAUGAAAAUGAUGUGGAAGAGCUUGAAAUGUUACUAGAGGCUUAUUUUAGUGAAAUUGAUCAUACGUUGAACAAAUUAACCACAGUAAGUAUCAUCUGCGGGAGUACAUUGAUGAUACUGAAGAUUAUAUUAAUAUUCAACUUGACAACCAUCGCAAUCAGCUCAUUCAGUUAGAGCUCUUUCUUAGCUCUGGAACUGUUUGCCUAUCUUUCUACUCUUUGGUGACUGCAAUAUUUGGCAUGAAUAUCCCAUAUACUUGGAACGACAACCAUGAUUACAUGUUCAAAUGGGUAGUUAUCAUCUCAGGAGUACUUUCUGCUUUGAUGUUUGUCAUAAUUACAGCCUAUGCUCGCAAUAAGGGAUUAGUUGGAUCGUGAAAAUAAUUUACUGGGAAGGGGUAUGAAUCAUGUAUAUAGUUGUCUAAUAAUUAUGUUGUGCAGCAUUUUGUUAGAGUUAGUUCAACAUAUAUGGAUGAGUUAUGGGUUCGCGUUAGUACCAAUGAGGGUGUUAGCCUUUGGAUAAGCUAUUUUGUUAUGUGAUUCAGUCAUUAUCAUAACACAUUGUAAAUACUGUUUACACAGUCACAUUUGAUUCCUUCUUCUGAAUAAGCUUAAUUUCUAGAUA